rnacentral:tRNA from 1 species
CUCGAUAGUUAUUGUAACUAUACCGGUUUUCAAGACCGGAGCUAUCAACCACUCAGCCACCUCUC